GUAAUAUUAUUUUCAGAUUCUUCUUUUUAAGUUUUAUAUCAUGUAUAUUACUUCUUUAUUAUGUUUAACCAUGGAAGCUUGAAGAUCGUCAGCCACCAUCCCUACUUUCAAAUGGAUAUCCAAAACAUAGACAAAUUCUCAGAUUAGUCGUCGACAGGUUCAGGAGGUGGUGACGGUGAGAGAUCAGCUGGAGAAGAAAGAGCAAGAUCCAGGAUUGUCGAAUCAGAGUGAAAGGAGACGGAGCGAGAAAUUCGCGACACUUAAGCAGAUGGAUUUAACUUCUUAUGAUCAGAACGAUGCUUGACAAUGAGAUUCAAGGAGAAGAAGCCUUCAGAAACUUCUCUUGCUGAAAGAGAAGAAAAGAAACAGAAAGACCAAGCUAUGCUCUUCCACAAAAACCAAGGUAGUUAAUUGCUCAUAGAGCAAAGUGUGGAAAUUCUUUAUCCGAAAAGAAGAUGACCGUGCACAAUGCAAUAUGUUUCUGUAAAAUUACAGGAACUGAAAGUAACACUAGAAACACGUAUGUGGGCUCUACGUGAGAUUUCUGAGUGUAUCUUGGUUCGUUUAUGUUUUUAAUUCAGCUUGAGUUACAAUAUGUGUUUAUUUAAGACUUUUGGUGCAAGUGAUUUUCUGUUCUCUGUUAUUAUUGUGAUGUGAUCAUCUUUGAUCAAUAAGUUAGCACAAUGUGGGUUUGAAACUUUUUCUGAAUGUAGUGUAAUAUGUUUGAAAUUGAA